rnacentral:rRNA from 1 species
AUGCCGGCAAGCUUCCUCUCCUCCCCAUCCGCGACGCUGCCCAACCCGACUGCCUCUCCUCCUCAACCACGCUGCCGCCCGGCUGCCUCUCCUCCCCAACGGUGUCGCAUCCAAGACAUCCACCGCAACAACGAGCUCUGCAUCCCCUGAUUUAGCAUGGAGGGGCAUGAGGGUGACGAACCAGAUUAUCAUCCUGAAGAAUUAGAAGGGCAUGAGGGUGAGAUGGAGCUGUUUAUUGUACCUCCAAAUCCUCCUCGUGUACGGCAGAAAGUUGCAAGUAAAAGGGGGAAGAGGCCAACAUCUAGUGCACGUUCAGGAAGUGGACAAUCGACAUCACAACAGCAGCCUACAGCUGAAGCACACCAGCAGCCUACAGCCGAAGCACAACAACAGCCUAUAGCCAAAGCACAACAGCAGCGCACUGCCUCCUCUAGCAGUAGCAGACUGAAGUCAAAAGUAUGGUUGGACUUCACCAAGAUAUCCAAAGAUGGUGAUGCCUUUAUUGUAGCUAAGUGCAACCAUUGCUCCGCUGAGCUAUCAGCUAAAUCUGGACAUGUUCAAUCUGGUUUGCCAUUGAUUGAUGGUGCCGUGGCCAAACUUAGAGAUGGUAUAAUGUAUCUAAAGGCUUCAAGUAAUAGGUUGCACAAGUUUUAUAGCACUGCUAUAACUACUUUCAACUUAGAAGAAUCGAAGAAGUUGAAACCUGACAUGCCCAUUCGUUGGAAUUCAACAUAUACUAUGCUUGGCUCCUGUUUGUACUUUAAACAAGCGCUGCAGUGGUAUUCUGAAAGGGAUAGCAUCUUCAAGGUGCAUUUUUGGCCAAGUGAGGAAGAAUGGUCCAAGGUAUCUCAUAUGUAUCAGUUUUUGGAGGUUUUCUUCGAGGUAACUACUGUUUUCUCAGGAACAAAAUAUCCAACAGCCAACUUGUACUUCAUGAAUGUUUAUCUAGUUCAUACUGCUAUUAUUGAGGCUACCGAUGGUAUAAAUAGCUACAUGGGUCCAAUGCUGUUUGUUAUGAGAGAAAAGUUCAUGAAAUAUUGGUCUGACUAUAGCGUAUUUCUAUCUUGUGCUGCUGUUCUUGAUCCCCGUAUUAAGUUCAAGUUCUUGGCUUAUUCCUACUCCAAGCUGUAUGAAGAGGAUGAUGCCAAGCGUCGUCUUGCUGAUGUUAGAAGUACCUUGACUUCUUUAUUUAAUGAAUAUGGUAGUGUUGUACCUGUUCAUGACAACUUACCCAAAACUAGUAUGUCAAGCACUUGUGGACUUGGUGCCUUUUCUGAAUAUGAUCAGUAUGUGGAAAGCACGAGCACAUUUGAAGAGAAAUCUGAAUUGGAAUUGUACUUGGCUGAACCUACCAAGAGGUUGAAUGAGAACAUUGAUAUCUUGGAUUACUGGAGCAAGUCUGCAGCUAGGUAUCCGCAGGUAGCAAGAUUGGCACGUGAUAUCCUUGCUGUUCCCGUGUCAAGUGUUGCAUCAGAAUCUGCUUUCAGCUUGAGUAAGAAGGUUAUAACCCCGAGCCGAGCCUCACUUAAACCAAAGACGGUUGAGGCCUUGAUGUGUUUGGAAGAUUGGUAUCGCUGCAAAUUGGAGAAGAAAGAUGGUAUAUAG